UACAGAGGGUGCGAGCAUUGUCCGGAAUUACUGGGCGUAAAGGGCGCGUAGGCGGCCUGAUAAGUAGGGGGUGAAAUUCCGUGGCUCAACCACGGAACUGCCUUCUAAACUGCCAGGCUUGAGCACGGUAGAGGCAGAUGGAAUUCCCGGUGUAGCGGUGGAAUGCGUAGAGAUCGGGAAGAACACCAGUGGCGAAGGCGGUCUGCUGGGCCGUUGCUGACGCUGAUGCGCGACAGCGUGGGGAGCAAACAGG
rnacentral:rRNA from 1 species